CCUACGGGAGGCAGCAGUAGGGAAUCUUCCACAAUGGGCGAAAGCCUGAUGGAGCAACGCCGCGUGGGUGAAGAAGGUCUUCGGAUCGUAAAACCCUGUUGUUAGAGAAGAAAGUGCGUGAGAGUAACUGUUCACGUUUCGACGGUAUCUAACCAGAUAGCCACGGCUAACUACGUGCCAGCAGCCGCGGUAAUACGUAGGUGGCAAGCGUUAUCCGGAUUGAUUGGGCGUAAAGGGAACGCAGGCGGUCUGUUAAGUCUGAUUGGAAAGCCUUCGGCUUAACCGGAAUAGUGCAUUGGAAACUGGGAGACUUGAGUGCAGAAGAGGAAGGUGGAACUCCAUGUGUAGCGGUGAAAUGCGUAGAUAUAUGGAAGAACACCAGUGGCGAAGGCAGCUCUCUGGUCUGUAACUGACACUGAGGUUCGAAAGCGUGGGUAGCAAACAGGAUUAGAUACCCGAGUAGUC
rnacentral:rRNA from 1 species